rnacentral:lncRNA from 1 species
UAUGAUUAACUAAUCUAAACUUAAAACAUCAACACUAAACCCUAAAUCAUCAACUAUGAACCCUAAACCAUGAAACAUCAACUCUAAACCCUAAACCCCGAAACAUCAACUCUAAACCUUAAACCCUAAAACUUCAAAUCUAAAUCCUAAAACAUCAACUCUAAACCCCAAACGUAAACCCUAAACCCUAAAUCUAAACUUAAAACAUCAACUUUAAACCUAAAUCACCAACUCUAAACCCUAAAUAAUGAAACAUCAACUCUAAACCCUAAACCCCGAAACAUCAACUCUAAACCCUAAACCCUAAACCUUCAAAUCAAAACCCUAAAACAUCAACUAUAAACCCUAAACGUAAACCUUAAACCCUAAACCAUAUAUUUUCUGAAAUUCGAACCCUAAACCCUAAAACCCUAAACCUUCAAAUCUAAACCAUAAAACAUCAACUCUAAACCCUAAACGUAAACCCUAAAUCUUCAAAUCUAAACCCUAAAACAUCAACUCUAGGGUUUUAGGGUUUAGGGUUUAGGAUUUAAGGUUUAGGGUUUAGAGUUGAAGGUUUAAGGUUUAGGGUAUGUUUCAGGGUUUAGGGUUUAUUUCAAAAAAAAUAUGGUUUAGGAUUGAUGGUUUAGGGUUUAGGGUUCGUAUUUAAAAGAAAAUAGGGUUUAGGAUUGAUGGUUUAGGGUUUAGAGUUGAGUUUUAAGGUUUAGAGUUUGAAUUUCAAAAUAGUAUAAUUCAGAAUUUUUUAUUUUUUUAGAUUUUUAUUUAUUUAAAUAUUGAUUUAUUAUAUAUAUAAAGAAUAUGGGCAUAUGAGUCUUUUGCCACUUAAUGAAGAAGAUAUUUUUGAAAAUAUCCCUUUAGUGGUGGUAAAAAUGAAAAGUGGUAGCAUGAAAGUGGUAAAUAUGUAAUUUUUCCAUCAGAUUAUGUAUGUAAGGGCAGGGCACUAUUUUGGAUAUCGUCUUUCUUUCUUUAUGUGAACUUGCGUUGUCUAGAUGUUUUACUCGCAGAUGAGAUUUAGGUAAAGAGUUCGGAAGAGAUGAAAUAUUGGAUUUAGAUGACAAUAAACCCGGGUAUGAUGCUGAUCAUGGAUAUGGUGAAGAGGAGUUUGAAGAGAGAAUUGAAACAUGAGGAUCAUGAGUUGGUUAAUCAGAAGGAGGAAGAACUGGAGGAGGAAACAAAGGCAGAUGAAAAUGCAGGUGGGUUUACCGACGACAUUGGAAAUGGUCCGGAGAAGCUUGGGAGUGAAGGUGGUGAUGUGCAUGCUUAUGAUGAUUUUAAGCUUGGAGAAGCUGUUGAUGUGGACAAAGAAAAAGAAGAGCAUCAUGAUG